AAUAUGUUAGCUGUACUCACCAACAGUGAGGUUAAUGAAGCCUCUCCUGACCUGACUUUGCAGUUUGGGAACAUUGCAGGUGUAACUUCCAGCAUCCAGUUCAGUUACGUUGGUCAGUUUUAGUGAAAUGUUUCCUCGGAUCAUUUCUUCAUGGAAGACAGAUGUUCUACCUCUGAAGUUCUCAUCCUGAUCAGUUAGAUAGUCCUUCCCAUGUCGACUGACGUGCACAAAUCUUCCAUCACGUUUCCACUCCACUGUUAGAGUCCUCACAUUGAAUCGAGGCUCCAGGUGACAUGGCAGGAUGACGUUAUCACCGACUGUUACUGUAACUGGUUUGUCUGAGCCAAUCA